rnacentral:sRNA from 1 species
AAAAAUGGGCAUGCUUGCAUUUAAAACGUCUAUAAUAAUCAUUUUAUGUAUAUUUAAAAAUAUUGGUAUGCUUGUCCGUAUUAGUCACGUGUAUAGGAAAGUGCAGACGGGUUAGCUAACUAUGCUUUUUUUUGUCAUUAGAGUUUUAUUCUUUGGAGGUUGUUCCUAUUGAUUUUGUUUCUGUUGUAAGCGAUGAUGUGCUUAGGUUGGGUCUACGUGACUAAGGCAAGUGUCUAUGUAGUUUUUUUUUGAAGUUUUA